rnacentral:rRNA from 1 species
UACGUAGGGUGCGAGCGUUAAUCGGAAUUACUGGGCGUAAAGCGUGCGCAGGCGGUUUUGCAAGUCAGAUGUGAAAUCCCCGGGCUCAACCUGGGAAUGGCAUUUGGGACUGCAAGGCUCGAGUGCGGCAGAGGAGACUGGAAUUCCUGGUGUAGCAGUGAAAUGCGUAGAUAUCAGGAGGAAUACCGAUGGCGAAGGCAGGUCUCUGGGCUGACACUGACGCUCAUGCACGAAAGCGUGGGGAGCAAACAGG